rnacentral:rRNA from 1 species
CACGUAGGGCGCAAGCGUUGUCCGGAAUUAUUGGGCGUAAAGAGCUCGUAGGUGGUUUGUUACGUCUGCUGUGAAAACCUAGGGCUUAACCCUGGGCUUGCAGUGGAUACGGGCAGACUAGAGGUAGGUAGGGGAAAAUGGAAUUCCUGGUGUAGCGGUGAAAUGCGCAGAUAUCAGGAGGAACACCGGUGGCGAAGGCGGUUCGCUGGACCGCAACUGACGCUGGAGGAACGAAAGCUAGGGGAGCAAACAGG